rnacentral:lncRNA from 1 species
AUGGCAAACAGGAGCCAGCUGUGUUCUGAACUCGUGUUAGAAACGUGCAGGAUUUCAGUGGGAGCAAGGACAGCAUCCACAUGGCCCUGUCCCCUGGGUUCCACAAGUGCUGAGCAUGGCCAGGAGAUGGAGUCGAGGGCCGGCAGGGCUCCCCCAGCCCACGCUUGCUGCAGCCGAGGUUUCGCCUGGAAAACGCCUCCUGCUUCCUUCAGAGCUUCCUCCAGAGCAGGAUCAUCCUUCCCCACCGUCCCCAGGCCUGGCUCAUGGGGGUGCCCAGAGCUGAGGUGUGAAACCGGGAAUACAGAGCUGCCUUCGGAUCCAGCAGUGGAGAGGAAAACACGUCUGGAAAUGGGAAUUACCUGGGCACAGAAUGAAGUGUCUGAGUGGCCAGGUGCCCAUGGAGCAGCGUGUGCCUUUCCUGCGGCACAGAGGGCUCAGGGCUGCCCUAACUCCAGAGGAAAUGGAAUGGCUGAGGAACACAAAUGCUCAGAGUCAUUUCCGUUCUACUUCUGCUUCUUCCAGGCCAGGAGGAGCCUCGGCCCUUUCAGACCCACGUGGAGAGCUCUCUCCUCCAGCAGGGAGUGCUGAGAGCUCCUGGGGGCUCUGGGAAGGGUAAAGGCAUCUGCCCAGAUGGGCUCUCCUUGCAGGGCUGCAAUCUAAAUAAUUCAUUUCUAUGUCGUGUUCUCCCAGAGGGAACGCUGCAGUCCUGCCCUUGGUGCUUGUUCUGUGCAGCUGUGAUGCAGAGAUGAGCAGCUCUGCAUCCUGCCAGAGCGCUCUGCAGGGCUGCAGAGGUGCCACAUCGGGUCACUCCUGUCCCAUGAAAUCACGCCAUGGCCAAGGACCUCAACCCUGCUGGGAACAAUCCCUGGAUCGUCCCUGGCCAGGACCCCGGGAACUGUCCCCUGGCCGGGCUGCAGGGGUGACAGGCUGCUCCAGGUGACAGGCUGACACCAGGUGACAGGCUAUUCCAGGUGACAGACUGCUCCAGGUGACAGGCUGCUCCAGGUGACAGGCUGCUCCAGGUGACACCAGGUGACAGGCUGCUCCAGGUGACAGACUGCUCCAGGUGACAGGCUGCUCCAGGUGACAGGCUGCUCCAGGUGACAGACUGACACCAGGUGACAGGCUGCUCCAGGUGACAGGCUGCUCCAGGUGACAGGCUGCUCCAGGUGACAGGCUGCUCCAGGUGACAGACUGCUCCAGGUGACAGGCUGCUCCAGGUGACAGACUGCUCCAGGUGACAGACUGACACCAGGUGACAGGCUGCUCCAGGUGACAGGCUGACACCAGGUGACAGGCUGCUCCAGGUGACAGGCUGACACCAGGUGACAGGCUGCUCCAGGUGACAGACUGCUCCAGGUGACAGGCUGACACCAGGUGACAGGCUGCUCCAGGUGACAGGCUGUUCCAGGUGACAGGCUGUUCCAGGUGACAGGCUGCUCCAGGUGACAGACUGCUCCAGGUGACAGGCUGCUCCAGGUGACAGGCUGACACCAGGUGACAGGCUGUUCCAGGUGACAGGCUGCUCCAGGUGACAGGCUGCUCCAGGUGACAGGCUGUUCCAGGGAGGCUGCAGCACACACAGGGC